ensembl:lncRNA
CUCACACACACACACACACACACACACACACACACACACAUACAAACACACACACACUGUCUCUCACACACACUGUCUCUGUCUCUCCCUCACACUCUUGAGUUUACAUACAGUAUUUAUCAAAGACAUUGUGGCUCCAUUUUCCUUUUCUUUCCUGGUUUUAGGAAUCGUGGCAUUCCCUGGAAAAAUCUGAUUGCGUUCAAUUCCGAUAACGCAUUUGUUCAACUGCCUCUUACACACAUUCUUUCUCUCUGUCUGCCUCUCUCUCUCUGUUUCUUUCUCACUCUGUCUCACAACAUUAAGCUAAAACACGUAGUAGCAAAUGAAAAUGUGUAAGUAAUGUUUACCUUGUUCAUAAAUAAAUCACUUUUAACAUAUCCAUUGGUCUGUCAUUCUUUAAUAUAUAUUGUGUAGUUAUAAACUCUUUAGACUGUUAAUGAUUAGUGCUUUUUUAAAGUUUGUGGGUAAGAAUCGUGUAAAAAAAAAAAAAAUCCCUUAUUUUGGGGAUGGAUUCCGGGAAAUCUCCCUUAUUUUCAAUGUUCAAUGUUGACAGCUAUGGGCUAUAUCACGUGCUCUGACAGGCAGAAGCGGUUUCUGAUUCAAGAACGAACUGAUUCUUUUCAAUGAACCUUUUAAAUCGGUUCGCAAAUCGCACCAAACGAUUCAUUCACAAAUUAGAAUGAUCCGAUUGCAGCUGUUCUAGAGUCAACAACUCACUGAUUCAAUUGAACCGUUUAGUGCGAGUCUCCAGUGAACUCAAUUCACAAGUAAGAACCGGGAGAUCUUGUGAUCGCGCGCGCGACUGAUGCUGCUAAAAGGUUGUGGAUCCGUUCAUCGUCACUACAUGCUAACCUUGCAGCCCACGCCGCCCAUCUGUCGAAAGGGAACACAGCGUGGCUGCUGCAACCUCUCAUUUGAAUUAUUCAGACUUGUAAGCAACUUUGUGCUCCCUGGGAAGGUGUGGGCUGGAGAAAAAUGGCUGGACGUCAUCUGAGGUCAGGUGUGCAAAUGGCUUCAUCUGAGGAGUCCUGCUGCCUAACGGGAAGAAAGAUCAGUUCAAGAGAAAGGUUUUUUGAAGCAGUUCGUUGGGACGAAUAGCCUACUGCAAAAUAUGCUUGUAAAGAAUAAAAUUAUGCUUAAGUUACA